rnacentral:rRNA from 1 species
UUCCUACGGGAGGCAGCAGCCGCGGUAAUACGUAGGGGGCAAGCGUUAUCCGGAUUUACUGGGUGUAAAGGGAGCGUAGACGGCAGCGCAAGUCUGGAGUGAAAUGCCGGGGCCCAACCCCGGAACUGCUUUGGAAACUGUGCAGCUCGAGUGCAGGAGAGGUAAGCGGAAUUCCUAGUGUAGCGGUGAAAUGCGUAGAUAUUAGGAGGAACACCAGUGGCGAAGGCGGCUUACUGGACUGUAACUGACGUUGAGGCUCGA